rnacentral:tRNA from 1 species
GCCGCAGCUGAGCCCGCAGAUCACCCAGCCGCUCUCCUAAAGCGGGUGUCGCAGGUUCGAAUCCUGCCGGGGGCACCA